CCUACGGGUGGCAGCAGUGAGGAAUAUUGGUCAAUGGGCGUAAGCCUGAACCAGCCAAGUCGCGUGAGGGAUGAAGGUUCUAUGGAUCGUAAACCUCUUUUAUAAGGGAAUAAAGUGUGGGACGUGUCCUAUUUGGUAUGUACCUUAUGAAUAAGGAUCGGCUAACUCCGUGCCAGCAGCCGCGGUAAUACGGAGGAUCCGAGCGUUAUCCGGAUUUAUGGGGCUUAAAGGGUGCGUAGGCGGCCUUUCAAGUCAGCUGUGAAAGCCUAUGGCUCAACCAUAGAAUUGCAGUUGAAACUGGGAGGCUUGAGUAUGUGAGAGGCAGGUGGAAUGCGUGGUGUAGCGGUGAAAUCCUUAGAGAUCACGCAGAACCCCGAUUGCGAAGGCAGCCUGCCAGGCCAUGACUGACGCUGAUGCGCGAAAGCGUGGGGAUCAAACAGGAUUAGAUACCCGUGUAGUC
rnacentral:rRNA from 1 species